UAGAAAUUUCCCGGUAGAAUUCUAAUAUUCUAAUUUAUUGUCUGUUCGUAAUAGGUUAGUGGUUUGUUCUUAUAGUCAAGUUGUACCCUAGACGUAUAAUAUAAUAUAUUGUUAUGUAAUAUUUAUAAUUUAAUAUUAUUAUAUGUCUAAUGGCCUACUACAUUGUCAUAAUUGUAUAAAUUGUCAUUACUCAUUCACUAUCCAACGUAUUAUUUUAUUUCGUUUGUUUUUUGUGUUUGCUUCGCUUCCCGUUCAGGUAUAAAAAUGCAUAACUCUCAAGAAUCUAUAUACCUAAACAUGAACCAUCCAGAAGAAUCUCCCAAGAACCAGUCUAAUCCAACGGUUCGUCCAGUCAAUCCAUUUGAUCCACAUCGUGAUGCUUGAAUAUUGCAUAGGGCUAUGGGUUGGACAGUAGAGUACAGAAGUCAGAUAGUAGAAGUCUUGGCCAAUAGAGUUUAUUCUCAAAGACAAGAAAUUGCAAUUCAAUUCAAGACAUGAUUUAAUAUCCGAAUUGAAAAAUGAAUUUGGUGGAAAUAUGAUAAAACUAGUUGUAGGACUCAUGACACCUACUUGUGAAUUUCUUGCUAAAGAAAUUCAUGAUACUCUAAUUAAUGAUAUUCACACUGAUGAAAAAACAAUAAUUGAAAUCUAAUGCUGAGU